rnacentral:lncRNA from 1 species
AAGCCAUCCCAGUGAGCUUGCGGGGCUGCCUCAGCGGCGUUUUGGUUUCCAUGUCCUUCCCUGGACUCCUGAUCCCGCACGACAGGGCCCAGGAGCAGCCGGCAGACGGAGAAAGGCACUGAGCGCCCGGGGAAGAGAAGAACCGGGAUGUAUGGAGACCCAUGGCAGACAAGUCUCUGGGACUCCCAACCAGACGCCCCCCUCGCCUUGCCUGUGUCUGGCCCCCCUCGCCCCCUGCUGUCCCAACCUCUAGCACACCUGUCAGAGGCCCCGGGCCCCACGCUGCUGGCUCAGGCCCAGGGGACAGAGCAGCAGGGCCUGCAGAGACCGUCCUCCCUGAGGGCCAACUGAGGUGAGGCCUGGCCCCCGCUGGCGUCUCCACCCCCCUGCCCCUGCCCUCCCCACUCACUUUACCGCAUCCAGGGAAGUGGAUGGGGCUGUGGGACAUCUGUGCGCUGUCCUAGUCCUGGGGCGGCUGGACAGGGGCCUGCGGGUCAGGACGCGAGCAGGAAGGGCUGUGAGGGCCUGGUGUCUGUGGUCUCACGGAAAGGAAUGGGGGGCGGGGGGUAAGCCCUACCUUCCUCUUUUGGAUCACAGAGAGGCCUUGACUUUUUCUAGUUUCUAGUUUCUAGUGAGAUAUCACAUCACCAGGCUGAACACCUGUCAGAAGGAGGCCCACCUGGUAUUAACCCGUGACGGACAGAGACAGAGAUGAUGGGAAGGUAGAGAUAAGGAGAUGAUGGAUGGUAAGUGGGUGGAUAGAACAUACGUAGACGCGUGGAUAUGGGUGCAAAUAUGGACACGGUGGGUUCGGGAUGAUGAUACGGCAGAGACACACAGACGAUAGGACGACGGGUAAAUGAUGAACAUACCCAUAGGGGGGUGAGUAGCUCCCCAAGUAGGUACAUCGGACAUGAGAAGAGAUGACAGGUAUUCACAUACAUACACACACGGAGAGACACAGACACAGGUGCAAAGAUGCAUAGUUACAUGGAUAGACACAGACAGAGGGGGCGCAACACAGAAAGGGGUUUCUGGCUCCCCUUCUGGUCCUAACAGGCUGACUCUUCUCAAACUACACAUUUCCCACAGGCAAAAGGGGCUCUAGAAAUUCUCCUGAUGACGUCAUGUUGCGGGGGUGGGGGGGAGUGCCCAGAGAGGAAGGAGGCAGGCGGCACACUGUGCAGGUAGGACGUCCUGUCUCUGGGUCCUGUGACUCUGGGCUGUGCUCUGCACUCACUCACCCCUGCCCCCCAGCUGGCUGGGUUAGGCUCUCUAGUUAGGGGAUGCUGACGGGGCUGCGGCGCUGGAGGAGGGAGGCCGGACAGGAGGAGUUUCCUGCUCAAACAUC